rnacentral:lncRNA from 1 species
GGGCGGGGCCUGGAGGGACCAAUCAGCGGGCGAGGCUGUGGCCGAGCCGCGAUUGGUCCGCCCCGCGGGUUCCAACCUGCACCGCCCGCUCGGUCCUUUGAGCCACUGCAUCCCCUAGCGGCGCCCGGGUGGCUGCAGCCGCUGGCCCGAAAAUGCUGCUCGGGCGAGCAGGGGUCAGGCGGGAAAAGAAGACUCCAAAUCCACUCUCUGCUCGCCCCCAGGGCAAUGCUGCCAGGAGAGGGAGUGGGUUCCCCCGCAGGCUAUCCCACCGAUGGGGCUGAGAGCUUAAUUUGGGGUUUUAUUUGAAUUGGAGACAUUGUUCCCUCUUCGCUCCUCUACCCCAUAAAAUUCCCUACAAAUGCAAAAAUUCGAGAUAGAAGAAGCCGUCCCUGAAAUUGCUGUCUAACAUUCACCGGAAACCUCUCCAUAAACAAGGAGAAACGAAUGCACACGCAUUUUUGCUAAGAAGCCCGGGAUUAAGAUUUAAGGAUACAAGCUGAAAGAAAAAAUGAAAAAUGCUUCUCCGCGCGUCAAUCGAGGGGUGGAUGCGCCACGCAGCGUGAGCCCAGCUCACAGCCACGCGUAAGACCAAAAGCUGCCAUGGGUUCUGCGCGCGGAGACCUCAGAGCCGAAGAGAGAAGUCCCCGCGUCAGAAACGCUGCGGAUGCCAGGUCUUGAAAAUGCUGACUUCUGAGGCUAAGAAUUAUUUCAAAGACAAAAAGAAAAGACUGGUGAGGAGGCCUUCCGGUGCAAGGGCGCCUAUCCGCUAAUUUUGGAUGGGGAAGUAGGGAUUAUUCGUUUAAAUUCAAUCGCGAGCACCAAGUCGGACUGGCCGGGGAUGGAGAAGGGCAACCCCCACCUUUAGAAAAAUAAAAGAUCUCGAAGGCCCUUCUUGGUCUGGGUGGUUUGAGGCUGGCAGAGAGGGGUGGGGGGCCUGGGGCUGGAUGUCCCGGGUAAUGGAGCCAGCCGGUAGGGGGUAUUUAGCAUUUAAUUCCCAGCCGGCCCGCCCCAGUUCCCGGACUGACAGUGGGUAAUUGGGAGAGAGGACGUUGCUCUUUU